rnacentral:rRNA from 1 species
UACGUAGGGGGGCUAGCGUUGUCCGGAAUCAUUGGGCGUAAAGAGCGUGUAGGCGGCCCGGUAAGUCCGCUGUGAAAGUCGGGGGGCUCAACCCUCGAAUGCCGGUGGAUACUGUCGGGCUAGAGUGCGGAAGAGGCGAGUGGAAUUCCUGGUGUAGCGGUGAAAUGCGCAGAUAUCAGGAGGAACACCAAUUGCGAAGGCAGCUCGCUGGGGACGUAAACUGACGCUGAGACGCGAAAAGCGUGGGGGAGCAAAACAGG